UUCGGUUUUAGUUUAUUUUCUUCUUUUUUUACGUAAGGGAAAGGUUGUUAGCUUGAGAGGUGGACCGGACCAGGGCGGUUCGAGGUGGUGGUUGAGGUUAGAAUUGAUGAGGCUUUUUUUUAGCAUGCAUCCCAUUGCGCCAGUCACACCGAGCAGAAUGAGAAGGUGAUGGUGCUGGUGGAGUGGUUGAGUGUGAGUGCCCACUUCAGUUUUUGGCGAAAUUCGAUUUUCGGUUCACCGUCGCACCUCUCCCUCCUUACAUCAAUUACCUUCCAGCUCCCCGGGGGCCGACCGAGCGCUUCAUCCUGUCCCAUAUUGCGGGAAAGCUGCCGAAGCGUGGAAAAGUUUGACAGACUUCCAUGGCAACAUGACGACCAGUAUUAGUUAUUGGGCUUAGGCCUGCAAUGGGGUUGUGCGUUAAUCGACCACGAUCACUAUGGAACCAAUUCUGGCUGACUUUCUCAUCUUUCACGAAUAUUACACAUAAUGUGGAAGUUGAUGAUGUAUUUGAAUAUCCGUAGUACAUACUUUGUUUUUCUUUUUUCAACGUUAUCUGAAUGUUGGUACUUAAUAUGAGCUAUUUAUAUUAUUCUAAAUAAUCCAUUAAAAUGUAGUUAAACUAAAACGUAGGACACCAAACGAUCAAUUAACCUUUUUUUCUUUUUCUGUCUUUCGUUGAACAUAUACAUUUGACACACAAGUGCAGGAUUUGUUUCGUAUAUUCAAAAUUAAGUAAAUUAAGAAUCAACUAAAACAAGCAAGUUCAACACAAAUAUAUAAUUGCCACCCCCGAUGGUAACAACAGGGUUGCUAAGGAUACCGCACAACCGCACGUCAGUGCCUAUGGUAAAAAAAAAACAUAGAACAUGGAACAUGGAAGCACUUUCAUCUUUCAUUUCGGGGCGAAAAGUGUCGCUGCUAUCGCAUAUCGACGGCAGAAAACCACCUUUUUCAUCCGCCCCUGGAGACGACUUUUUUAUCCAAGUAAACGGAGCGUAACUGACGCGGGAAGGAUAAUGCAGACCCCGCGCAUGGUGAGAUAUAUUUUCCACAGUUGCGUUUGCGUUUUGCAAGUACCCAAAACUCGAUGACGGCGGCAUUGACGUUGGCGAUAGGUAUUGCCGAAUAAAAGGCAGAAACGGCAAGGGACAGGGUGCCAAAUUUAGGAGUUUGGAUGGCACGGCGGGGAGAUUGAACCAAACUUUCACCAAUGAAGGAGAAAGGAGAACAAACCAUCUACCCCGAUGACGGACUCUUCUGCUAUUACCCGAUCCAAUAUAGACGCUGGGCCCCGGGAAAACCACGCUACAUCGCAACCUUCCACUAGAUGGAAGCGUUUCCAGGGCGGAAAAUGAAAGCAGCAACGU